AUUGAACGCUGGCGGCAGGCCUAACACAUGCAAGUCGAGCGGAUGAAGGGAGCUUGCUCCUGGAUUCAGCGGCGGACGGGUGAGUAAUGCCUAGGAAUCUGCCUGGUAGUGGGGGAUAACGUCCUGAAACGGGCGCUAAUACCGCAUACGUCCUGAGGGAGAAAGUGGGGGAUCUUCGGACCUCACGCUCUCAGAUGAGCCUAGGUCGGAUUAGCUAGUUGGUGGGGUAAAGGCCUACCAAGGCGACGAUCCGUAACUGGUCUGAGAGGAUGAUCAGUCACACUGGAACUGAGACACGGUCCAGACUCCUACGGGAGGCAGCAGUGGGGAAUAUUGGACAAUGGGCGAAAGCCUGAUCCAGCCAUGCCGCGUGUGUGAAGAAGGUCUUCGGAUUGUAAAGCACUUUAAGUUGGGAGGAAGGGCAGUAAGUUAAUACCUUGCUGUUUUGACGUUACCAACAGAAUAAGCACCGGCUAACUUCGUG
rnacentral:rRNA from 1 species